rnacentral:rRNA from 1 species
UGCCAGCCGCCGCGGUAACACGUAAGGGGCAAGCGCUGUCCGGAAUCACUGGGCGUAAAGGGAGCGUAGGUGGCGAGAUAAGUCAGAUGUGAAAGUUUGCGGCUCAACCGUAAAAUUGCAUUUGAUACUGUUUUGCUAGAGUAUCGGAGAGGAAAGCGGAAUUCCUGGUGUAGCGGUGAAAUGCGCAGAGAUCAGGAAGAACACCAAUGGCGAAGGCAGCUUUCUGGACGAUAACUGACACUGAGGCUCGAAAGCGUGGGGAGCGAACAGGAUUAGAUA